GGGCACCGAGAGGGCACCGAGAGGGCACCGAGAGGGCGGGAGGGACGGGCCGGCAGCGGCCGGGCACGCUGGGAGGGGCACGGCUUGCGGAGGCGGUGGCCGGUCCCAGAGCUGAGCCGACAUCGGCCCUUCCACCUUCCGUUCCCGGCUCCCGCCGCCUCUCACGGCGCUGGCUCCGUUCCUGCCCUGUGUCUGUGCUCCUGUGCGGGGAAUAAACACAGAACUGGGCGUUAAACCCGCGCUGCUCCGGACCGGGGAGCUGAUCUAGCGAUACUUGUCAUUUAGGGCAUUAAAUUAACCAAUGUAGCUUUUCCAGGGAGGUUUUGUGAUAAUGAAGUCACGCAGGAGCUAAACAGCUUCGGUCUCUGUGAGAGCUGUGCAGGUGAAAUGUCAGUCAUGGAAUCGCACAGUGGUUUGGGAUGGAAGGAGCUGAAUUCAUCCAGUCCUGCCUCCUGUCCUGUGUGGGGACACCUUCCUCCAUCCUGGGCUGCUCCAAGCCCCGUCCAGCCUGCCCUUGGGUGCUUCAGGGGUAGCCACAGCUGCUCUGUGAAUUCUAUUCUAGGGUCUGUCCACCUUCCCAGCCAAGAAUUCCUCCCCAAUCCCCCAUCCAGCCCUGCCCUCUGGCAGUGGGAGCCAUUCCCUGUGUCCUGUCCCUCCAUCCUUGUCCCCAGCCCCUCUCCAGCUCUCCUGGAGCCCCUUCAGGCCCUGCAAGGGGCUCUGAGCUGUCCCUGGAGCUUCUCCUCUCCAGGUAAGCCUCCCAGCUUGCCCAGACCUGGAGCAGCUUGUCUGUUUUCCAUCCCUCCAUCCCCCAUCCUUUGCUCAUUCUGGGGGUUGUCCUGACCCUUGCACUUGGCCUUGUUGAACCUCGUGGGUCCAAGUUGCCAUGAACCCACUCUGUCAGCUUCUCCAGGUCCCUCUGGAUGCCCCAUCCCGUCCCUCUGGUGUGUGAUCACACCACCAGCUUGGUGUCAUCAAUUAUUAAUAAAUCAUCCAUGUGCUGCAUGUUACUCCAUGUUUUUCCUGCAGUCACGAGCUUAGAUAAUAAAAGCAAGCUUGGGGCGAUAAUUUAUAAGUCUGGGUUUCCCCCUUUGUCUCCAGUUUCCCCCUUGCCCUACUACCAGCUUGUGAUGGGAAUAGGGGAGGUUUCUCCUUCAUCUGGAAGGUCAUUCCUUGUCAGGCUGGCUGAUGGGCAAACAGUACCGAGGGGAAUUUGGGAUGGUGUUUUGACCUCAAAGCAGACUUGGUGGAGGUGUUGGCUGAGGCUCGGUGGUAGUAAAGGACAGUCUGAGUGUGCAAAGUCCCAAAGCCCCGUGGUUCCUGUGGGUUGGUGUUGGGUUUUUAAUGCACGUGAGGGAGAAGUGCUCUAAGGUGUGUUUGGUGGUGGAGCUCUGCGCUGAACAGCAAUAUGGUCACCCACGAGCUUGGUUCUGAGGCAAGGAGCUCACCUUGGUGUGAGCAGGAAAUUCCACAGGGCGAAAACCCAAGAUGUGGCCUCGGGACGCUGGGUUUGGACUUGGCAGCCGGAGCAGGAGCCGACCAAGGCCCGUCUGUGUGAGGAGUUCCCCUGGAUCGAGCUGGCCCGUCCCAUCCCGGUUCCAGUGUCACAGCAGCGUGGCUGGAGUGGGGGAGCGCCUUCUGCGGUACUCGUGGUGCUGAAUCUGCUUUGCUCUGGUAGUAAACGAUGAGCAGAUGUGUGUGCAAGUCCUGCUCGGCUGCCAGGAGCUGCUGCCAGUGCGGCCGUGGCUCUGGGUGUGGCUGCUGUGUCACCCUGCGGUUGUGACACCAGUUCCUAACAAGUAGCUGCAGCUUCUGCCUCGCAGCCUGCAGGUGUUGAGCGUGUGAGGGCAGAGCACGGACACAACGGGCUGGGGUUCACGGGGGAGAAGCUACAGGAUGCCGUGUGAGCAGAGUGACAAAUCCCACCGUGCCAGCACAGCCUCCAGGAGCUCAGCCUGCUCUUCCCGGGGUCUGGUGGGGUGGAGUUGCAGAAGAUAAAUCCCUGAACGUCUGGGUUUGUGCUGUUUGAGCACAAGUCUCCUCCUGGGGCAGUGUCCCUGUCACUGCAGUGGCCAUUGAGGCAUAAGUUUUUUGGUGGGGAGAGCCCUCACCCCGGCUUCCCUGCCCUGGCCUCUGCUUUGCAUUCCCUGCAGUCAAGUUCCAUGUUUGCCAUUGCAUUCACUCUGCUUCAGGCUUUAGGCACCGGGGAGUUUGUUCUGAUGGCUGGCUUGGGAACUGCCUGUGCAGAGAGGGCUUGUUGCUGUGAAAGGCUUUUUGUGUUUUGGGAGUAGAAAAACCUCCCACUUUGAUAAGUUCUUUGUGUUUCCAAGCAGCUCAUCUAUGAUUUGUAUUGAUUAAAGAAACAUCCUGACUGAGAUUUUAAUGGAAACAAACACCUUGAUGAGGCUGGGGCUGAUAAUGAGCGCGCACUAAUGAACAGAAUUAAUUUCCUGCCUGAUCAAAACAAGGUUUAUACCUUGUGCUGAGAGAGCUGCUGCACUACAGAAUUUGGGUGAUAAGGUUUUCUACCCCGAAGGUGGCACACUGGAAGUAAACCUGGAAGGGCGUCCAGGGAGGGCUGUUUGGGCACAGGAGGAGCAGCAGCCCUGGGGGUGCUGGCAUUUGAAACACACUGGCCAUGCUGGCUGUGGCAGGGGCAGAAUGGCUGGGAAUGGAGUGAGUGAGUGGCUGUUGUUCCCCUGCCACUGGGAGAAGAAA